rnacentral:rRNA from 1 species
AACGUAGGAGGCGAGCGUUAUCCGGAUUUAUUGGGCGUAAAGCGCGCGCGGGCGGCGUCUCAAGUCGGAUGUGAAAUCUCCUGGCUUAACUGGGAGACUGCGUUCGAAACUAGGACGCUUGAGGUCAGUAGGGGGGAGUGGAAUUCCAGGUGUAGUGGUAAAAUGCGUAGAUAUCUGGAGGAACACCAGUGGCGAAGGCGGCUCCCUGGACUGCACCUGACGCUGAGGCGCGAAAGCGUGGGGAGCGAACGGGAUUAGAUACCCCGGUAGUCCACGCUGUAAACGAUGGAUGCUAGGUGUUGGUGGUAUUGACCCCAUCAGUGCCGAAGGUAACCCGUUAAGCAUCCCGCCUGGGGACUACGGCCGCAAGGUUA